rfam:Triticum aestivum genome assembly, contig: Triticum_aestivum_CS42_TGACv1_scaffold_158898_2DL
GUACUACUUCCUCCAUUCCAAAUUAGUUGACUCAGAUUUGUCUAGAUACGGAUAUAUUUUUAGUGUUAGAUACAUCCGGAUCUAGAUAAAUCCAAAUCAACUAAUUUGAAGCGGAGGGAGUAUAUG